CACAACUCUUUAUUUAUUUGAUUUUUUAUCUAUAUGCCAGAUAGGGCUGGCUGUUGUAAUAGGAGCCACCAGCAGCCCUGGAUGGAGAAAAGAUGGUCCAGGAGACAGACAUACCUACAAUGCUGCAUAGGCCAGGCCUGGGUGCUGGGCCUGAGCUUACAUGGAUCCUGGGGAGAUGAGCAGGCCUGUGUGGCUGAGGGUCCUAGCUGAGGCCACUCAGGGCAAUGGCAGCCUACAGGUGCCCUCAGGGCUGUCACACUUGGAGGUGCUUUGGUUUAAAUUGGACAUAAUGCAUGGGAAUAGGGCUGCUUAGGUUCUGGUUGGGUGGUUCUUCCUUUUUGUGUGCCUGCCCUGAUAGUGCUGCAUGUAUGGGGGGAAAUAGACUGGCUACAGCACCCCAAGGGUCUGUUUGUCUUUCCUUUGAAACUACAACGUGGUGGAUUCAGCAACAUGAGUUCUUCAGGAUACCUGUUUAAAAUGGUUGCAUCUUACAUAGCAGGCCCAUCUCAGAAGUGAGAUUUGAGGGGAAAAAUAUUAAGUCCUUCAGAAGAUCAUGGAGCUGGAGGAUGUUGUAGGGAAUCCCUUCCAUAACUGUAGGAUAAUCUCUUUCUUCUGAAGCUG
rnacentral:lncRNA from 1 species